UACGUAGGGUGCAAGCGUUGCCCGGAUUUAUUGGGCGUAAAGGGCGCGUAGGCGGCUCGGCACGUCCGUUGUGAAAUCGCCCGGCUCAACUGGGCGGGGUCAGCGGAUACGGCAGAGCUUGAGCAAGCUAGGGGGCAAUGGAAUUCCCGGUGUAGUGGUGGAAUGCGUAGAUAUCGGGAGGAACACCAGUGGCGAAGGCGGUUGCCUGGAGCUUUGCUGACGCUGAGGCGCGAAAGCGUGGGGAGCGAGUCCGG
rnacentral:rRNA from 1 species